rnacentral:lncRNA from 1 species
CGGGGUCUACCUACGCCACCUAUUAGAAUUACAUACUAGUAACGGGGGCGCGCUUUGCGCGCGCGCAUCAGAUUUAUACAAAAUAAAAUAUAGCUAGGUGAACACUGGUAGAGGGUAAUAUGUUUGUUGCAAUAUCUGAAGCUGCCUUGUUAUAUUUACAUGAAAUGUUUUCAGAAGAGUUGAGCAGUUAUAUAUAAUUACACAGAGAGCAUUCUACUACCUAAAACGCUGCUGAUAAUAUGAGAAAAUCUUCAGUUCUUGGAAGGUCUGGUGUCCGGCUUUUCUUUGAUGCGCAGAGGUCCAUGUUUGAACCUGUAUAGUUGGGAAACAAAGAAUUUUAAUGUCUUUGUUUAUGGAAGCAAAGGAGAAAGGGAUGGAAGUGUUCAGCAUAAAUGGAAUAAUGCUUUUAUAAUAGAUAGAAAAUAAUACAUGUAGGAUAUUGUAUAGCAGAGUAUAACUUUUUUGGUGAAGAUUCAAUUAUAAUUGCUGGACCUUUUCCCUUGUGGUCAAGUAUCGCAUCAUGUUGUAUAUAUGUAAAAAUUAUUUAUAAAGAAGUGUCAAGAAGGUAAUGGUAUUUGUUAAAUGUAAAUAAAAGUGUGAAGCAGUAUUAUAUAUAAUUGUUGUUAUAUAUAAGUGUGUACCUCUAUGUUUCCUUCGUCGAUAUCGUCGUUUUCUGCAUCAGUAAUAUCAAUGCUAGUUGGUCUGUGAAUAUAGAACAAAUGUAAUACAAUGAGUCACCUUCCUUAGCUCCAAUGAGUCUAAUAAUGAAAUCUUCACUUUCAUUAUUAGAUAGACGGUCUCUUGCCAUGCGAUUUUUUUGCGAAUGGAUUGUGAUCGUCUAGCAUCUUAAUUAAUCCAUUGACUAUAUCAGAAUCCAAAUUAUCUUGGCUAUUGAUUUCAUCUUCUAGGCAAUUCAUUCUGUUUUGAACCUCAUUGGCAGUGUCGUAAAUGUAUAACUGAAUGAACUUUGGUGAUUAGCCAUCUGGAGGUAAUAGAGAUCCAAUCCGAUGAUGCACUUGCCCACAUAUUUUAAACAGUGGUGGACCACGACCAUCAUUAACUGAAUUAUCUAUGUGUGCAACCAUUGAUGUGAAAGCAAAUAAACAAUUGUAUUGCCUUAUGCUUCUGAUGAAUCUCUUUGAGGUUGUAUCACCAUCAAAUCUUGCAAGAGAAAAUAGAGGUUCGGGUCUAGGCAUAUAUGGAGGUAUGCUGAUCUUGCCACCUUUACAACAAUUGUUAUAUGUAAUAGAUGUAGCACCGUGUUGAUUUCGUACUCUUUCAGCAUACCAAAAAAUAGCAUGACAAUGUGAGCACUCGUAUUCAGGUUUCCCAUGAUAUGAUCUAUUUGGAUAUGAAGUUAUGUUUGAUUUUGCCCAAAAAAGUUCGCGCAGGAUUAAUUGAAUUAAGGAUUUGCACUUUUGCAGAGAAAAAAUGGCACAAUGUUAGCAAGGUCUUUUUAAUAAGGAUAAUCACGGCCUACUUAAAAAAGAGGUAUUCGUAUAUCACAUUACCUUUAAGUGAUUGUAUGUACUCAUUGGUGAAAUAGGCACACUGUGAAGUCGUCGUUGUAGUCAUCAUUGAGUCUUUUUUUAACAAAAGAAGUAAGGUAAUUAGAAUUUUUAUUUAUUUAUUCAUGAAGGAAUUGUAACCACGUUUUAUGCCAUCACAUUUGGUUAAGUUGGCAUUACCUCUUCUGCCGAGUCUAUUUUGGUUAGGUAACACUCUUCGGGUUUUCCGUGCUUCUACAACAUUUGUGGGUAGUGGUAUAUACGGAGUAAAAGAGUCUGAAAACAGAGGCCAUCUACCAAGUCAAUAACUGACUGUUUUCUAUAUUCAUUAUUUAAUCUGCUACGAAUGUGCAAGAUAAGAACAUACUGUGUUUCCUUUUGUUCACGCGUUUGUUGUUGCUGCUUUCUGCAUCUGUCGUUUGGGGAUUCAUUAUUUUUUAAUUAAGUUAUACUCGUAACCUGUUAUUGUUCAAUGACCUUUAAUUAAGUAGGAAUAGGAAUUCAACAGGCAAAGAGAAAUAAAGAGAGAAUUAAAUAGAGAUGAUCUGAUGAUUUAUGCUUGAGUAAGGAGGACAUAGAAAAUAGGUAAUUGUGUUUAAUUAAUAAGAGCACAUAUGUGUGCGUAUUAUAUAUACAUAUGCACAUUUAUAAGACAUAUAAAUAUGUAAGUAUGUGGGCAUUGGUGAUGCUAAUCAUCUAUGCUUCCACAGUUUAAUAUAAAUAUGUAAGUAUGUCGGCAUUGGCGAUGCUAAUCAUCUAUGCUUCCACAGUUUAACAUAGCAACACUCAUAAAUAUAUGGUAAUAUCACAUUUUUUAUUAGUAUUGGUAUGUUUAGUUGUGUAACACAUUGAAGAAACAUAGAAGUGAGUGUGUUGUCUGAAAUAAAAUCUCGUACCUGUUGAAGAAGUAGAUGCAAUCUUUUCAAAUUAACUCUACAUUAGAUAUCCUUCCACUUGAAUUUUGCAGUAGAUGGGAGAGAGUAAACAUCAUUCAAUAGUUAAGAACAAACUGUCAGAAGAUGUUUUGUCGAUGUCGAGGAGUGUAAGUUAAUUCAACUUGAUACAUUCGUUGAUGGUACCUGAUCCUUUAGGUGCUAUAGCACUUCAAAAGCAAGCUCUGUCUGUUGCAAGUGUUUCAGCGACCUGUUCCAUUUGGGCGAAAUUAUAAGUUCCUAUAUGUACAUUAAAGAAAUUUUUUUAAAAGAAAGGAUAAUAAAUUUAUAAGUCGUUAUAUGUAGUAGUUAAAUGGCAAACAAAUCAAGUUUAGCUAAGAACUAAGAGAGAGUCGCCAAAGUAAAACCAAAUAUUUUCUGGUGGGCUGGUGGACAUAGGUUUCUGACAUUCGCUUAUUCUACACAGAUUAACGCAAGGAAAACGGUGAGAGUAGCUACUGCUUUCCAUGUCAUACGACCAGGCUCUUUUUUUAAUCUCUCAUUUUUAGCUGCAUGUUCUUUUUUUUCUUUCGAGUGAGCAACGACAAUAGGCCAAUACCUGGGACCGAAUCGAACUUAAAGGUGAAGAGCUGCUAUCCUACCGAUGCUAGGAUCUGGCUAAAAUAAUUAGUGUCGGGGACCAUAAUUAGGGUUACCCUCAAGACGCCUAAUUCUCAGCUGGUAACCCCCAUCAGCAUAAAGCUGCAGAGGCCUGAUGGGUGCGAUUAAGUCAGGGAUCAGUCCAUACGAGUGACUCGAUCACGCCUCGCCCGAGCCUAGCCUCGGGCAAGGGCAGCCGACCCCGAGGGAUUUCCGUCUCGCCCGAGGCCCCCCUUUAACGGUGGACACAUCUCCGGCUCGCCCGAGGCCUUGCCUUCGCUAAGAAGCAACCCUGACUGAAUCGCCGCGCCGACCGAUCGAGUCGCAGGAGCAUUUAACGCAAAGGUGGCCUGACACCUUUAUCCUGACGCGCGCCCCCCGGCAGAGCCGAAGUGACCGCCGUCACUUCGCCGCUCCACUGACCGGUCUGACAGAAGGACAGUGCCGCCUGCGCCACUCCGACUGCAGUGCCACUUGACAGAGUGAGACUGACAGGCAGUCAGGCCUCGCCAAAGGCGCCAUAGGAAACUCCGCUCCGCCCGACCCAGGGCUCGGACUCGGGCUAAGCCCCGGAAGACGGCGAACUCCGCUCCGCCCGACCCAGGGCUCGGACUCGGGCUAAGCACCGGAAGACGGCAAACUCCGCUCUGCCCGACCUAGGGCUCGGACUCGGGCUAAGACCCGGAAGACGGCGAACUCCGCUCCGCCCGACCCAGGGCUCGGACUCGGGCUAAGACCCGGAAGACGGCGAACUCCGCUCCGCCCGACCCAGGGCUCGGACUCGGGCUCAGCCCCGGAAGACGACGAACUCCGCUCCGCCCGACCCAGGGCUCGGACUCGGGCUCAGCCCCAGAAGACGACGAACUCCGCUUCGCCCGACCCCAGGGCUGGGACUCCGCCCUGGCCUCUGCCGAACGACCUCCGCCUCGCCCGACCCAGGGGCUCGGGCUCGGCCUCGGCAACGGAAGACAGACUCGACCCCAGCUUCGGAGGAGCCCCCCACGUCGCCCGGCCUCGGGCGCGGGCCCGCCACGUCAACAGGGAGCGCCAUCAUCACCCUACCCCGAGCUGACUCGGGCCGCAGAGAACAAGACCGGUGUCCCAUCUGGCUAGCUCCGCCAGAUAGGCAAUGAUGGCGCCCCGCGUGCCCUGUGACGACGGCGGCUCUCAGCUCCCUUACGGAAGCAGGGGGACGUCAGCAAGGACUCGACCGCUCCGACAGCUGUCCCUCCGCCAAGCUCCGUUGCUCCUCCGACAGCCACGACAUCACACCAGCAGGGUGCCAAGAUCUCUCCGGCUGCCACAUUGGCAUGUACUCAGGGCGCUAGCUCUCCCUCCGCUAGACACGUAGCACUCUGCUACAUCCCCAUUGUACACCUGGAUCCUCUCCUUACGCCUAUAAAAGGAAGGACCAGGGCCUUCUUAGAGAAGGUUGGCCGCGCGGGGACGAGGACGAGACAGGCGCUCUCUUGGGGCCGCUCACUUCCCUCACCCGCGUGGACGCUUGUAACCCCCUACUGCAAGCGCACCCGACCUGGGCGCGGGACGAACACGAAGGCCGCGGGAUUUCCACCUCUCUCUCGCCCGUCUCCGGCUACCUCGCUUUCCCCCCUUCGCGCUCGCCCACGCGCUCGACCCAUCUGGGCUGGGGCACGCGGCACACUCACUCGUCGGCUCAGGGACCCCCCGGUCUCGAAACGCCGACAGUUGGCGCGCCAGGUAAGGGCCUGCUGCGUGCUGACGAACAGCUUCCCGUCAAGCUCCAGAUGGGCAGUCUCCAGCAACCUCUCCGGCCCGGGACGGUGCUCCGUUUCGGGAAUCUUGAGUUCAUGUCCUUCGACGGCAGCUACGACAUGAUACUCCUUCCACCGCCGUGCGACAACGACAAUGGCGGCCGACAACCCGCCCGCCGGCGGCGGAAUCGACGACAUCUUCCCCGCGUGUUGGAAGAACAACAUUCGAGCUCGCCCCGUCCUCUCCCCCGCCAACGGAGGAGGAGGCGGGGCAACCUAGGCCAAGCGGGAGGCCGCGCUUCGUCGGCUGUCGAGCGAAUCGACGUCCCCAGCGCCCCAACGGAAGGCACGCCGGGCGUCGACCUCGCGUUUGAGACGAAGGCAAGCGCCGUACCCCCGCGACACACCAAUCCCGAGCAAGUGGACGACGCCGGCGCGCUCGCGGAGAGCUUGCAGGACGCCGCCCUCGUACCUGAGACGACGGUGCAACCAGUCCCCGACGUGACUACGCCGCUCCUCGUCGACCAAAAGGUACUGACUGAUUCCCAUCUUACGUCAUUUCGACUCGGCCUCAACCCGCCUAGCGACCUUGCUUUGGCGGGCGCUCUCGUUGAGGCGAGUGCAACCCCACUGGGGUUUCGUAUGCGGUCGCCUUGGGACCGGCUGACGGACGUCUCGACCUAUGGGCCCUCUGGGUCCGAGGAAGAUGACGAUCCCAGCAUCUGUUGGGAUUUCUCCGGAUUUGGCAACCCCAGUGCCAUGCGGGACUUUAUGACCGCAUGUGACUACUGCCUCUCCGACUGUUCCGACGGUAGCCGCAGCCUCGACGACGAGGACUGCGGCCCGAGCCGCGAAUGUUUCCACGUCGAGCUAGGGGAUCCCUCCGAAGGCAACCAUCUCGGCAUGCCGGAGGACGGUGAUCUCCCUAGGCCGGUGCCUCGCGCUGACAUCCCGCCCGCGGGAGCUAGCUGUGGUCCCCGUUCCGGCGGGGGGUCACGACCCACAGCUCGAGCAAGUCCGCGGGGCGCAGGCCAGGCUCGACGAGGGAGCAGGAGCGCUUGAGCCGAUCCACCGGGACGUCGGGCAGGUAUGGGCGGGCCAACCCCCGGCCGGAGAAAUACGUCACCUGCCCCAAGAUUUCCAGCACCGCGUCGCCAACGACGUCAGGGUCAGACCGCCACCCGCAUCCAGUGGGGUCGGUCAGAACCUGGCCGCAGCAGCGAUGCUCCUCCGCGCGAUGCCGGAGCCAUUAACCACCGAGGGUCGGCGAAUCCAGGGAGAGCUCAAGAAUCUCCUGGAAGGCGCUGCGGUCCGACGGGCCGAGAGCACUGCCUCCCGAAGGCAGGGAUACCCCUCGGAACCUCAUGCCGCGACUUCCCGAUUCAUGCGGGAAGCCUCGGUCUACACCGGGCGCACGCGCAACACCGCGCCUGCGGGCCCGGGCCACCUCGGCAACGAGCACCAUCGUCGCGACCGUCGGGCCCACCUCGACGAAAGGGUGCACCGAGGCUACCACCCCAGGCGUGGGGGACGCUACGACAGCGGGGAGGAUCGGAGUCCCUCGCCCGAACCACCCGGUCAGCAGGCCUUUAGUCGGGCCAUCCGACGGGCGCCGUUCCCGACCCGGUUCCGACCCCCGACUACUAUCACAAAGUACUCGGGGGAAACGAGACCGGAACUGUGGCUCGCGGACUACCGCCUGGCCUGCCAACUAGGUGGAACGGAUGAUGACAACCUCAUCAUCCGCAACCUCCCCCUGUUCCUCUCCGACACUGCUCACGCCUGGUUGGAGCACCUGCCUCCGGGGCAGAUCUCCAGCUGGGAUGACUUGGUCCAAGCCUUCGCCGGCAAUUUCCAGGGCACGUACGUGCGCCCCAGAAAUUCCUGGGACCUCCGAAGCUGUCGGCAACAGCCGGGAGAGUCUCUUCGGGACUACAUCCGGCGAUUCUCGAAGCAGCGCACCGAGCUGCCCAACAUCACCGACUCGGAUGUCAUCGGCGCGUUCCUUGCCGGCACCACCUGCCGCGACCUGGUGAGUAAGUUGGGUCGCAAGACCCCCACCAGGGCAAGCGAGCUGAUGGACAUCGCCACCAAGUUCGCCUCUGGCCAGGAGGCGGUCGAGGCUAUCUUCCGAAAGGACAAGCAGCCCCAGGGCUGCCCAUCGGAAGAGGCUCCCGAGGCGUCUACUCCGCGCGGCGCCAAGAAGAAAGGCAAGAAGAAGUCGCAAGCGAAACGCGACGCCGCCGACGCGGACCUUGUCGCCGCCGCCGAGUACAAGAACCCUCGGAAGCCCCCCGGAGGUGCUAACCUCUUCGACAAGAUGCUCAAGGAGCCGUGCCCCUAUCAUCAGGGGCCCGUCAAGCACACCCUCGAGGAGUGCGUCAUGCUUCGGCACCACUUCCACAGGGCCGGGUCGCCCGCAGAGGGUGGCAGGGCCCGCGACGACGACAAGAAGGAAGAUCACCAAGCAGGAGAGUACCCCGAGGUCCGCGACUGCUUCAUGAUCUACGGUGGGCAUGCGGCGAAUGCCUCGGCUCGGCAUCGCAAGCAAGAGCCCGGGAGGUCUGCUCGGCGAAGGUGGCGGCGCCAGUCUACCUAGACUGGUCCGACAAGCCCAUCACCUUCGACCAAGCUGACCACCCCGACCACGUGCCGAGCCCGGGGAAAUACUCGCUCGUCGUCGACCCCAUCAUCGGCGACGUCAGGCUCACCAAGGUCCUGAUGGACGGGGGCAGCUGCCUCAACAUCAUCUACGCCGAGACCCUCAGGCUCCUGCGCGUCGAUCUGUCCCCCGUCCGAGCAGGCGCUGCGCCCUUCCACGGGAUCAUCCCUGGGAAGCGCGUCCAGCCCCUCGGACGACUCGACCUUCCCGUCUGCUUCGGAACGCCCUCCAACUUCCGAAGGGAGACCUUGACGUUCGAGGUGGUCGGGUUCCGAGGAACCUACCACGCGGUACUGGGGAGGCCAUGCUAUGCGAAGUUCAUGGCCGUCCCCAACUACACCUACUUGAAGCUCAAGAUGCCGGGCCCCAACGGGGUCAUCACCGUCGGCCCCACGUACAAACACGCGUUCGAAUGCGACGUGGAGUGCGUGGAGUACGCCGAGGCCCUCGCCGAGUCCGAGGCCCUCAUCGCCGACCUGGAAAACCUCUCCAAAGAGGUGCCAGACGUGAAGCGUCAUGCCGGCAACUUCGAGCCAGCGGAGACGGUUAAGGCCGUCCCUCUCGACCCCAGUGGCGACACCUCCAAGCAGAUCCGGAUCGGUUCCGGGCUCGACCCCAAAUAGGAAGCAGUGCUCGUCGACUUUCUCCGCGCAAACGCCGACGUUUUUGCGUGGAGUCCCUCGGACAUGCCCGGCAUACCGAGGGAUGUCGCCGAGCACUCGCUGGAUAUUCGAGCCGGAGCCCGACCCGUCAGGCAGCCUCUGCGCCGAUUCGACGAGGAGAAGCGCAGAGUGAUAGGCGAGGAGAUCCACAAGCUAAUGGCAGCAGGGUUCAUCACAGAGGUAUUCCAUCCCGAAUGGCUUGCCAACCCUGUGCUUGUGAGGAAGAAAGGGGGGAAAUGGUGGAUGUGUGUAGACUACACUGGUCUCAACAAAGCAUGUCCGAAGGUUCCCUACCCUCUACCUCGCAUCGAUCAAAUCGUGGAUUCCACUGCUGGGUGCGAAACCCUGUCCUUCCUCGAUGCCUACUCAGGGUAUCACCAAAUCCGGAUGAAAGAGUCCGACCAGCUCGCGACUUCUUUCAUCACGCCCUUCGGCAUGUAUUGCUACGUCACCAUGCCGUUCGGUUUGAGGAAUGCGGGCGCGACGUACCAGCGGUGCAUGAACCAUGUGUUCGGCGAACACAUCGGUCGCACAGUCGAGGCCUACGUCGAUGACAUCGUAGUCAAGACAAGGAAGGCUUCCGACCUCCUCUCCGACCUUGAAGUGACAUUCCGAUGUCUCAAGGCGAAAGGAGUCAAGCUCAAUCCUGAGAAGUGUGUCUUCGGGGUGCCCCGGGGCAUGCUCUUGGGGUUCAUCGUCUCCGAGCGAGGCAACAAGUCUUUACGUUCGGAAGCUCUUCUGCCGAAGCGGUCCUUCAAGCCUUCUCGACUGAGUCGGAGACAGGGCCUCAUGGACGGGUGAAAGUACGCGUAAGCGGCAAGGCCGACCGAGCCGAGGGACUCCCACGCCUCCGGGAUACGGAUACCUCACUCGUCACCUUCCGCGAGAAGCAACUCUCGCUCGCACAAACACCCCUGUUACCGACAAAAAGUCCAGAUGCUCGAAACAAGAGGGAAAGAGACACAGCUUUACAACGCGGUGAGGGUGUGUAUUCUGGCCUCGGCGGCCGCAGAAGGCACACGCUACAAGACAAUCUGAUCCUGCAGGCUCGGGUCUUCACGCUGGAAGGGGGCUGUAGCACCCUCGGCAUCGACGGCACCUUCAGUGAGGUCCGACCCAGCCUCGGACGGCGACGCGGUCCAGGGACUCCUCCGGGAAUCCGGCCCGAGCAGGCGGCUCGGCCGGUUACCCCUGGGGCCUCGGCCAACCAUCUUCCAAGGGCGCCAGCCCGACCCGAGGCCUCAGUUGGUCAACUCCGGCGUCGGUCCCGCUGACGGACAACCCGGCUAGGCUCCGGCCAACCAGGUUCCCAUUUUCGAGCCAACUCCGCCUCUAUUCGUACUGAUAUCGCUACCCCUGGCCUCGGCUCAUCGAAGAGCGGCCGAGGGGUCUCUUUAACCAAGCUAGAGGAGCCUCAGACAACAAGGCCGAUCGAGCCGAGGGACUCCUACGCCUCCGGGAUACGGAUACCUCACUCGUCACCUUGACACGGGGCGACUCAUGCUUGGUGAAGCGGUUCAGAUAAUCAACAGGCGAGACUUAGUGCUCGAAAAUGAGAAAAAAAAACACGGCUCCGUGCCGAAAUUACAUACAUGUUCAGGCCUCGACAGCCACAAUGAACAAAAACACUGGCAUUCAAGGUGCCAUUACAAACGGAACUCCGGUUCCCCCUCCGCAGGUACGAACAACCCCACUCCAUGGGGGAAGGCCUGCGGAGCAACGGAAGACCAACGAACGGCGCGCCGUCACAUGCUCUAGCAGCGACGACGACGACGACUUCUGCUCCGGGGGGCCGAACAGCGGCAGCACUGACCUCAGGGCGGAUGCUGCUGCCAGGAGGCCCCCGCCCAUGCCAAAACUUGUGAGGCAAGGACGGGCAGAAGGCCGCAGAGUUGAAGGUCGGUCCGUGGCCGGCCUUGGCCAUCUCGCCGGCAGAAGAACCUCUUCAAGCUGCCGUGGCGGACGCCGGCGCCGCGAGCGGCUCCGAAGCCACUCGCGUCCGAGAGCCAGGCACGGUGCAGCUGCCAGCGCCACGGACGACGACCGCCCUUCCCUCCGAUCACUGAGUGAAGGAGCGGGCCGCCGCCCACGCGGGGGCCGACCUCAACUCGGCACACUCCCCUCCCCAGCCCUGGUGAUGAAAAUCCUUGAGGCUGAGGGAGGGGGAGAGGCCGCAGCCCGGCUCGCUUUCCCCCACCAUCAAGCUGGAGGUCACCAUCUUGGGUGACCGCCGGUGGAGGGGUGCAGCCGGGCUGCAUGAUGAAAAUCCUUGAAGCCGAACGAUGGCUGAAAGGUACCAACUCCCACGGAGUUGCGUUCCUCCAACGAUGAGGUGAAAAGACGGUGGGUUCCCCCCAUCCGGGGGCUUGGAAGGUGGAAAGACGCGAGGCAUAAGGGAGGGAGAAGACAUGGUCGCCCUCCGAAAGGGGUCGCCCUCCUUUUAAAGGCAACUCUCCCUACGUGCGCCCCCAAACGCCACGGGAUGAGUCUUCUCCAACACGCUCCAAGGCACUCCCCUGCGGCGCGGGGGCUGGGUCCCGCAUGUCAUGCAAACCGGCUCAGAGCAGAGGAAGCCAAACCGCCGCGCGUGGCGCACACAACCGCCCAGCGGUUACAAGCGACCCCCCACUUUUGCCCAGACCAACGGGCGGAAGGGGCGAGCAGCCAUGCAGGCGGCAUGCAAUCGCGCCAGGUGGACGCGCUUCUCCGACUCCCAACACGCCAGCAUGGAGGCCCAGGCCCACGCGUCACGCAACCUGCGUGCCAGAUGCUGCAUGCAAGCAACUGCACCGCCACUUGCGCCACCACCGCGCCUCUUCGGUUGCGGAACCAAUACCGCGACUCGAGGCGGCCCAGCGCACGACCCAGCAACGCCAGCCAGGCGCGACGGUCAAUACGACCGAAAGUGGGCCGGCAGUAAUGACGGUGGCAGGCGGGCGGGAGCAGCGGUCACGUCGUCGGCCAGGCUCACGUCCCAUCCAGGGGCAGCAAGAGAGCCUCCUCUCACGGCGUGAAGACGACGCACCCGUGAUCCGUUCCUCGAACGGCUCGCGCACGCGCAACGGCCGCCCCGCCAACCACUCGCCCCGUCGCAUUAACUCCGCGGCGGGACAGGCGGCGCUUCUGGCAGGAGAAGCGGGCGACGCUUCGCCUUCGCCGUAAUAACCGCGCCAAAAAAGGUAUGCCACGUCGUUCGAUUUCGUAUCCUUUUCCUUUUUUCCUCUUUCUCUAUCUCUUGCAACAGGGACCGGGAAAGGGGGAUACCCCGAAAAGGAUCCUUCCCUGUGAAGGAACCGGGCUCCGAGCCCCCCCUACUGAUCAGAGGUUCGAAGGCUGGCCCUCUGAGGGGUUCAACAGUCGCCUUAGAUCGCGUGGGCCCUACACCCACUACUGGUCAGAGGUUCGAAGGCCGGCCCCCCGAAGGGCUCCACGGCCGCCUCAGGCUACUCGGGCUCCGCGCCCAUUACUGAUCAGGGGUUCGAAGGCUGGCCCCCGAAGGGUUCACAGUCGCCUCAGACGCCGAGCGAGGGAUGACCAGGGGUACGUUCGAUACAUAACCAAGGCUCGGGCUGCGCUCCCGAGGUACCCUAGGACAUUUCCGAGACCAGUGGGAGCGAUCUUGUUACGGAAUCCCAUCGGAGGGAGGCAUCGAGCCCUCGGACCCCGUCGCCAGGGGACCGGGUCCGGUAGAUCACCCGCAGGUACUUUUGGGCGUGCCUCUGGGCCCCUAGCCGACCCCCAACGAACGGGGCACGGACGUCCACUCGGAUUACCCGCUUGCAGCUCACCGGAGACACCAUGUUCGGUGCCCAUCGAGGGUAACAUGGCGCUCUCCCCCCCUCCUCCUUGCGGAAAGGCGACGUAGGGGCGUAUGUAAAAAAGUCGAGUCUGUCCCUGAUCGCCCUCUCGCCCUGUGCAGAGGCUCGGGGGCUGCUCUCGCAAACCCGGCUCCGGCCGAACCGUUGACAGCGUCAACAUACCAGCCCGAGAACUUGGGCCCCGACCGUACGCCCGGGCUACGGCCAGUUCGCAUGAGGGAACAACCAGACCAGCCGAAGCAUUACGCAAGGCAUUAAGACCUCGGGGGAGUGAAACCACUCCUCCGAGGCCUCGGGGGCUACACCCGGCGGGUGCGCUCGCGCGCACCCACCGGAACAAAAUGCAACCGAGAAAGGCUGGUCCCCUUGCAAAAAAGUGCGACGAAAGCCUGUGAAUCAUCUAGGCCCCUUUGGUAAUGUUUUGGUAAUUAAUGACAACUGUUUGUGGACUAACGAUUCUUGGAGAAAUAAGAAUGCAGGGUUGGACCACAUAGAACAGGAAAUGUUGAAGAAUCAUACACAUUGGUUGUGGAUCAGAUUAAGGGAAAGGUAUAAUAUAGGUUUCACUUUUGCCGGUCUUGAGGAGUUUAGAGAAGAUACCUGACCGGAUUAGUAGGCUAGAUAGUCGUACUAUUAAGAGGGGUCAAUGACUUAGAUCUGUGUAAAACUUAGUGCCUCAUAGAGCAUCAAGUAGUUGCAUUUGCAUGAGGACUAACAACACUUCACAUUUCGCGAGUCAAAAGUUCUUUCAAAAGCAUGUUUAAAAAUUGCGAAGUCAUGGACGCGCGGACUGUCCGGCCCUUAGGGGCGGACCGUCCGCGAUCCACCAGAGGGGUCUGAAGUCUGACCAUUUGUAUUGACAAUGUGUUCUAUUGCACUGCGGACCGUCCGGGCCUUAGGGCCGGACCGUCCGCAGUCAUGACCAGAGGAGGGUGGCUUCGGGACAGUCCCUGAAUUAUAGGCGGACGGUCCGCCUGUAAGGGGCGGACGGUCCGCAAGUGUCAAACUCGUUUUUGGACAGGGACUGUGUGUUUUUAUAGAUUUGUACUACGGACUGUCCGGGGGACCAGUCCGGACAAUACUGUCUCAGGUCUCGGACCGUCCGGGAUUUAUAGCCGGACGGUCCACGUGUGUUAACUUCUUUUGAUCCGAGGCUCGGGUGUUUGAAUCUGCCAGGUCGCGGACGGUCCGGCCUUGAAGGGCGGACUGUCCGGACCCACCUUUUGAGUCAGCUCUGACAUGUUUCAAACGGUCAUUAUAGUCGUUAUAUGUACGGCGGACCGUCCGGCCCUAGGGCGCGGACGGUCCGCGUGUGCGCAGAAUUGCCCCCUUUUGCACAUAACGGUUGGUUUUGGAUGGGGGACUAUAAAUAGAAGGGUAGCUCGUGUGAGAGACCUCUCUUGGCUAUUCCUUGCACACAUUGAGCUCAUUUGUGAUCCUCCAACUCACUCUCUCACACUCUUUGCUUAAGAUUGCAUUCUAGUGAGAGAUUGAGGGUUCCUAGUGCAUUUGCAUCAUUUGGUGAUUCUUGAGGCACUAGGUGGUACACCGAGCAAGCGUCGUUGGCUUGUUACUCUUGGAGGUUGCCGCCUCCUAGACGGCUCGGGUGAUUGUCUCCGUCGAGCUCUCCAAGAAGAUUGUGGAGAAGCCGCGGUGUGGAUUGUGAGGGGUUCGCGCCUACCUCGCCGGAGCGGCAAAGGUGACAUUAGUGGAAUCGAGGUAUUGAGUGAUUUCUUGUUCACUUGGCUCAAAGAUCAAGUCGUGUCUUGAUAGAGGAGCAAGUGAGAGCUUGAAGUCCACCUCAACGUGGAUUAGGGGUGAUCGGCAAAUCACCGAUACCACGGGAUAAAUUUCGGUGUCUAUUCCUUCUAGCAUUACUUAUUGCCUUGCAAUUGAUUAGUGAUUUGCUUAUUGUUCUUCAAGUAUUCAAUCUCCGUAGUUGUCUUUCAUACAUUGUUUACUUAUUGACACUAGAUAAUUUAUUCCUCUUGUUGUAUUGAUUAAAUUUAUUUAGUAUUGUUGAUUUUAGUCAAAACCGUCUAUUCACCCCCCUCUAGCCGGUGUCCUAGAUCCUACAAAGCCUCCAAGCGAGUGUUAACACUCCCUUCGAGGCUCGGGGGCUACUGUCGGGGACCAUAAUUAGGGGUACCCUCAAGACGCCUAAUUCUCAGCUGGUAACCCCCAUCAGCAUAAAGCUGCAGAGGCCUGAUGGGUGCGAUUAAGUCAGGGAUCAGUCCAUACGAGUGACUCGAUCACGCCUCGCCCGAGCCUAGCCUCGGGCAAGGGCAGCCGACCCCGAGGGAUUUCCGUCUCGCCCGAGGCCCCCCUUUAACGGUGGACACAUCUCCGGCUCGCCCGAGGCCUUGCCUUCGCUAAGAAGCAACCCUGACUGAAUCGCCGCGCCGACCGACCGAGUCGCAGGAGCAUUUAACGCAAAGGUGGCCUGACACCUUUAUCCUGACGCGCGCCCCCCGGCAGAGCCAAAGUGACCGCCGUCACUUCGCCGCUCCAGUGACCGGUCUGACAGAAGGACAGCGCCGCCUGCGCCACUCCGACUGCAGUGCCACUUGACAGAGUGAGACUGACAGGCAGUCAGGCCUCGCCAAAGGCGCCAUAGGAAACUCCGCUCCGCCCGACCCAGGGCUCGGACUCGAGCUAAGCCCCGGAAGACGGCGAACUCCGCUCCGCCCGACCCAGGGCUCGGACUCGGGCUAAGCCCCGGAAGAUGGCGAACUUCGCUCCGCCCGACCCAGGGCUCGGACUCGGGCUAAGACCCGGAAGACGGCGAACUCCGCUCCGCCCGACCCAGGGCUCGGACUUGGGCUAAGACCCGGAAGACGGCGAACUCCGCUCCGCCCGACCCAGGGCUCGGACUCGGGCUCAGCCCCGGAAGACGACGAACUCCGCUCCGCCCGACCCAGGGCUCGGACUCGGGCUCAGCCCCAGAAGACGACGAACUCCGCUUCGCCCGACCCCAGGGCUCGGACUCCGCCCUGGCCACUGCCGAACGACCUCCGCCUCGCCCGACCCAGGGGCUCGGGCUCGGCCUCGGCAACGGAAGACAGACUCGACCCCAGCUUCGGAGGAGCCCUCCACGUCGCCCGGCCUCGGGCGCGGGCCCGCCACGUCAACAGGGAGCGCCAUCAUCACCCUACUCCGAGCUCUCCAAGAAGAUUGUGGAGAAGCCGCGGUGUGGAUUGUGAGGGGUUCGCGCCUAUCUCGCCGGAGCGGCAAAGGUGACAUUAGUGGAAUCGAGGUAUUGAGUGAUUUCUUGUUCACUUGGCUCAAAGAUCAAGUCGUGUCUUGAUAGAGGAGCAAGUGAGAGCUUGAAGUCCACCUCAACGUGGAUUAGGGGUGAUCGGCAAAUCACCGAUACCACGGGAUAAAUUUCGGUGUCUAUUCCUUCUAGCAUUACUUAUUGCCUUGCAAUUGAUUAGUGAUUUGCUUAUUGUUCUUCAAGUAUUCAAUCUCCGUAGUUGUCUUUCAUACAUUGUUUACUUAUUGACACUAGAUAAUUUAUUCCUCUUGUUGUAUUAAUUAAAUUUAUUUAGUAUUGUUGAUUUUAGUCAAAACCGUCUAUUCACCCCCCCCUCUAGCCGAUGUCCUAGAUCCUACAAGUGGUAUCAGAGCCGAGGACUCCAUUGUUUGUGGAUCUAAUCAUCCCGGAGUGGGACAAAAUGGCUAGUAACAACAAUGUGCACAUUGGGAAGCCACCGCACUUCGAUGGAAACAAUUAUGAUUAUUGGAAAAUAAGAAUGUCAAUGCAUCUUAGAGCAAUGGGUGGAAAAAUUUGGCCAAUUGUUAGGGAUGGAUUUGUUGUAUUGAAGGAAGAUGAACCAUCCGUUAGUGAUAAUGAGAAUAUCCUCACAAAUGAUCAAGCCAUGAAUGUCUUUUAUGAUGCUCUUGAUAUAAAUGAGUUCAAUCGUAUCAAAAAUCUCACAACCGCUCAUGAGAUUUGGAUAAAACUAAUGGAAAUUCAUGAAGGAACUACAAUUGUGAAGAGUGCCAAACUAUAUGUGUGCAAAGGGAAGUUUGAGCAAUUUAUUAUGAAAGAAGAUGAGAGUGUAUCCGAUAUGUUCAAUCGGUUGAAUGAGAUAGUAAAUGAACUCAAAGGACUUGGUUUUAAUGUACCGGAUGUGGAUUUCACACACAAGUUCCUUAGAUCACUUCCGGAGAAAUAUGAGACUAUUGUGACAAUGCUAGUAAGGAGUGAUCUAUCUACAACUUCUCCAACCGAAGUAUUGGGAGAAAUUCUCACUCAAGAUAUAUUUAAGAAGUCACAAGCUGAUGCUUUAAGUUUGGCAAAGAAGGUGAAAAAUGGAUCUAUUGCUCUCAAAGCCAAGGCCUCAAAGGCAAUUGAAAAAGAAGAUAGCAAUGAUGAAGAAAAUGAAAGUGAGAGUGAUGGUGACAUGGCUUUAUUUGUAAGGAAAUUCAAUAAAUUCAUGAAGAUGAAAAGAGGUCAACCUAGAAGAGGUCAAACAUCUAGAAGAAAUGCUUUCAAUGAUAGAAAAUGUUUUGAGUGUGGGGAACCCGGUCACAUUGCCAUGAAUUGCCCAAGCAAGAAGAAGAAGGGCAAAGAUGAAAGUGACAAGAAGAAAAAGAAAUACUAUAACAAGAAGAAAGAUGGCAAAGCCUACUUAGUUGAAUGGGACUCGGAUGAUAGCUCGGAUGAUGAUGAUGAUGACAACUCAUCCAAGCUUAAUGCCGGAAUUGCCAUCAAGGAAGCUCCCUCACUCUUCUCAUCCCCCCAUUGUCUCAUGGCAAAGGGAGAUGCUAAGGUAAAAAUCAUCACCGAUUUAAAUGAUAUAAAAGAUGAUGAUGAUAUCGAUGAUGUUGAUGAUGAUGGCUAUUCAUAUGAUGAUCUUGUUAGAAUGUUAGGUGAGGCCGAUGACUACAUGCACAAAGAAAAAGAAAAAUUUAAGACCUUGAAGGAAUUGUAUAAAAACCUCCAAGUGUCUUUUGAGGAGCUCAAGACCUCUCACAAUGACCUCAAAGAAAAUUGUGAGAAGCUUGCGGAUGCUCAAAAAUCAUCUAUUGUGCAUGAAGUUGAGGUGGUCACUAAGGAUGUUGGAGUCACUUGUGACUUACUUGAUACUCUUACAAGUGAACCACUACCUACUAACUCUAUUUGUGAUAAAUGCAAAAUUUCUCUCAAUGAUAACAUUGCUCUUGAUGAAUCAAAAAUUAUUGUUGAGAAUGAAAUGUUAGUAGAUAGAAUAAAUACUCUAACUCAUGAUCUAGAAAAGGCAUAUGGUGGUAAGACUAAAUUGGAUUUCAUAUUGGGAAGUCAACGAUGCUCUCUUAACCGUGAAGGUCUUGGAUAUGUUCCCAAGAAAGGAAAGAAUGCUUUUGUAAAGCAAAAGACAUUGUUUGUGAAAGAAUGUGACAAAGUGUGUCACAAGUGUCACAAAAAGGGACACGUUAAGAAAAAUUGUCCCAAGUUCAAAAAUAUAUCCUCCACUUGUUUUGAGCAUUGUUAUGUUCUUUCUCAUAAUGCAAAAGGUGCUCAUGCUAAAUUUGUUGGUACUUCAAUUGUUGGAAACAAAAAGAAAGCUAUUUGGGUACCAAAGACCUUGGUCACUAACAUCCAAGGACCCAAGCAAGUUUGGGUACCUAAAAGAGAUUGAUUUCCUUUUGUAGGUAAACUACAAGGCGGGAGGGAAUCAUUGGGUGUUGGACAGUGGAUGUACUCAACACAUGACCGGGGAUAUGAAAAUGUUUACCCAAAUGAGUGAGGAAGAUUGCUCAAAUUAUGAUAGUAUCACAUUUGGAGAUAAUCGUAAAGGAAAGGUUACAGGUUUGGGUAAAAUUGCUAUCUCAAAUGAUCAUUCUAUAUCAAAUGUGCUAUUGGUUGAGUCUUUGAAUUUUAAUUUACUUUCCGUAGCUCAAUUAUGUGAUUUAGAAUUUUGUUGCAAUUUCACCGUUGAAGAUGUUAUUAUCUCUAGUGUUGAUGGUAGCAAUCUUAAGUUUAAAGGUUUUAGACAUGAAAAUCUUUAUCUUGUUGAUUUCUCAUCUAAUGAGGCAAAGCUCACAACUUGCUUAUUUUCAAAAGCUUCACUAGGUUGGUUAUGGCAUAGAAGACUUGGUCAUGUUGGGAUGAAGCAACUCAAUCGGUUAACCAAACAUGACUUAGUUCGAGGCUUAAAAGAUGUGAAGUUUGAAAAGAACAAAUUGUGUAGCUCUUGUCAAGCCGGUAAGCAAGUGGCAAACACUCAUCCAAAUAAAAGUCAAAUGUCCACUCAUCGACCUUUGGAAUUACUUCACAUGGAUUUAUUUGGGCCCACAUCUUUUGUAAGUAUUGGUGGUAAUUCUUAUUGUCUUGUGAUUGUGGAUGACUAUUCAAGAUUUACUUGGGUUUAUUUUCUACGAGACAAAUCCAAUGUGUUUGAAACAUUCAAGUCAUUUGCUAUAUUGGCUCAAAAUCAAUUUGAUUUCGACAUCAAAAAGGUUAGAAGUGAUAAUGGGUCGGAAUUCAAAAAUGCAAGAAUUGAUCAAUAUUGUGAUGACAAGGGUAUCAAACAUGAAUUCUCUUCCAAAUAUACCCCGGAACAAAACGGUAUUGUUGAAAGAAAGAAUAGAACUCUUAUUGACAUGGCUAGGUCUAUGUUAGCGGAAUAUAGUAUAUCGGAUUCUUAUUGGGCCGAGGCAAUAAAUACCGCUUGUCAUUCAUCAAAUAGACUAUAUUGUCACAAGCUCUUGAAGAAAACUCCAUAUGAAUUGCUCAUUGGUAGAAAGUCAAAUAUCUCAUAUUUUAGGGUAUUCGGUUGCAAAUGUUAUAUUUUGAGAAAGGGGAGCCGGCUUUCUAAAUUUGAGAAGAAAUGUGAUGAGGGUUUUCUUCUUGGAUAUUCAUCAAAUAGUAAGGCUUAUAGAGUCUUUAACAAAACUCAUGGUAUUAUUGAGGAAGCAUAUGAUGUUGAAUUCGAUGAAACAAAUGGGUCUCAAGAUGAGAGUGAUAAUCUCGAUGAUGUUGGGGGAACUCAAUUGAUAAAUGCAAUGAAAACAAUGGCCAUUGGUGAAAUAAAACCAAAGGAAGAUGAUGAUGAAAAUAGUGUGGUUGUCAUUCCUUCAUCCUCAACUAUAAAUGAGGAAGAUCACCAAAGCCAACAACUCAAUGAAACCAUGGAUACUCAUGAUCAAGGUACUUCAAGACUUUCGGUUCCUCCUAAUGCUUCAACAAGCAAUUAUCAAACGGUAUCAAGAAUUCAUCAUUCCAUUGUUAAGGAUCACCCGGUUGAUCAAAUUGUGGGUGAUAUUAGUAAGGGUGUUCAAACUCGCUCUCGCAUAGCUUCGUUUUGUGAACAUUUCUCUUUUGUAUCUUGUAUGGAACCUAACCGUGUAGAUGAAGCUCUACUUGAUGUUGAUUGGGUGAAUGCAAUGCAUGAAGAAUUAAAUAACUUCGCUCGAAAUGAAGUUUGGGAGCUUGUUGAGAGACCAAAGAACCACAAUGUUAUUGGUACAAAAUGGAUGUUUCGCAACAAGCACAAUGAAGAUGGUGUGGUAGUAAGAAACAAGGCAAGGUUAGUUGCACAAGGAUAUACUCAAAUUGAAGGAUUGGAUUUUGGGGAGACAUUCGCUCUCGUAGCAAGAUUAGAAGCAAUCCGGAUUCUACUUGCUUAUGCUUGUGCACAUAAUAUCAAGCUCUACCAAAUGGAUGUAAAGAGUGCCUUCCUAAAUGGUAAGAUUAGUGAACUAGUGUAUGUUGAACAACCUCCCGGUUUUGAGGACCCCAAAAGACCUAACCAUGUGUUCAAGCUUUCUAAAGCUCUCUAUGGGCUUAAGCAAGCUCCACGCGCUUGGUAUGAAAGGCUUAGGGAUUUCUUGCUUUCCAAAGACUUCAAAAUUGGGAAGGUUGACACUACUCUAUUCACUAAAAGAAUUGGCAAAGACUUAUUUGUUUGUCAAAUCUACGUUGAUGAUAUUAUUUUUGGAUCUACUAAUGAAUUAUUUUGUGAGGAGUUCGGAAAAAUGAUGUCAAAAGAAUUUGAAAUGUCUAUGAUAGGAGAAUUGAGCUUCUUUCUUGGCCUUCAAAUCAAACAAUUGAAAGAUGGAAUUUUUAUAAGUCAAUCAAAAUAUUUGAAGGACAUGCUCAAGAAGUUUGGUUUAGAAAAUGCUAAGCCUAUCAAGACUCCAAUGGCAACAAAUGGUCAUCUAGACUUAGAUGAAGGAGGUACUAUGGUUGAUCAAAAACUUUAUCGUUCAAUAAUUGGUAGUUUGCUUUAUAUUACCGCAUCUAGGCCCGAUGUUAUGUUUAGUGUAUGCAUGUGUGCUCGAAUUCAAGCUUCACCUAGAGAGAUUCACUUGAAGGCCGCUAAAAGAAUUCUAAGAUAUUUGAAGUAUACUCCCAAUAUUAGUCUAUGGUAUCCCAAAGGUGCUCACUUUGAAUUAAUUGGAUAUUCGGAUUCGGACUAUGCGGGGUGCAAAGUUGAUAGAAAAAGCACCUCCGGUUGUUGUCAAUUUCUUGGUAGAUCUCUUGUUUCAUGGUCUUCUAAGAAACAAAAUUCGGUUGCUCUAUCUACCGCCGAGGCGGAAUAUAUAUCGACCGGAAAUUGUUGUGCUCAACUAUUAUGGAUGAAACAAACCUUAUUGUAUUAUGGAAUUAUUUUCAAGAAUGUGCCUCUCAUGUGUGAUAACGAGAGUGCGGUAAAAUUGGCUACCAAUCCGGUCCAACACUCAAGAACCAAGCAUAUUGAUAUACGGCAUCACUUCUUAAGGGAUCAUGUUGGCAAGGGAGAUAUCUCUAUUUAUUCCAUUGGCACGGAUGAUCAAUUAGCAGACAUUUUUACAAAGCCUUUGGAUGAAACAAGAUUUUGUUCUCUAAGAAGUGAAAUGAAUGUGAUUGAUCUCUCAAAUGUGGCUUGAAGUUGAUCACACAUGUGUCGUAUUGCAACUCGGGUCUAAAUAUGCUCUUUAAGCUAUUUAUUUGGUAUUAUUGGUGCAUUUUUCAUUCCAAAUUGCUCUAGAUAGUUUAAUUCAAAAAUUUUACAUUACUCAAUUACAUAAUAUGUAUAUGCAUGCAUACUAACUCUUGAAUUGGUCGAAAUGUCCAUAUAUAAGCACCAACUCGGAUUCGAAAUUCAAAAUCAGAAAGUGGACAGCAAUUGGAAAAAUGAGUAUCAGGCCGCGGAUCGUCCGCCCAUGGACCGCGGACCGUCCGCAGCAUCAGGAAAUGGACAGUCCGAUCAGCCUCGCAGACCGUCUGAACUCAUCAGGGCGCGGACCGUCCGCCGCCCUAGCGCGGACCGUCCGCGACAGGGCAGUAAAAUCGGGCAGUGGCCGCAGACUUGACAUUUGUGCUCAUUCGCCCUUUCACUCUUGCUUUCCACUCGCCCAAUACUCUCCUGAGUCGAGUGUGCGCGGACGGUGAAGUGAAGUUGCGUGCGGACAGUCCGACAGCUUGUGGCAACAUUCCAUCAACAUGUCUUCAUCACGGUAUCUUCAAAUCUUGUGGAUUUCAUCAAAUCUCUUCUAUUUUGAGAUUAUUUGGGUUUCCUCUCUGAUCUGAAAUUGAGCAGUAGUUUUCAAAAUCUGAUUGGUGGGAUUGUUAGUUCUCCUCAAUGUGAAUGCUAUGCAAAAUUUUGAACUCGUUUGGAUGAGUAUUCUCUGCAAAAUCAUCAAAUUCAACAUUUGUGGCGGCUAGGGUUCUUGGAGUCGCCCCUGGUCGGUCGCGGACCGUCCGCCUGGUGGACGCGGACCGUCCGGGCCUCUGGCGCGGACAGUCCGGCCCCCUAGCGCGGACCGUCCGGACCCUGGCAGAGCAUUCCCAUUCCAUUCCUUUUUAUAGUGGUGAUUGGUAUCAAUUAUUUAUCUAUGGAUGUCUGUCACAUUGUUGCAGUGGUUUUGGUGGUCUCCGCAAGAAACUUGCAGGUCGCUUUAAAUCCAAGCGCCCUCGUGGAAAUGAUGAUGACUAUACACCAACCACUGAUUCAGAGGCCCAAUCCUCAGCUGGGGGCACUGAAUCCAUGGAUGCUGAAGAUUUUCCUCAUGUUCAUCCCGAUUAUCCCAUUGAUACCCAAGGAUGGACAUAUCCAAAGCGGAGAUUUUCAAUGGCUGAGUACUGCUCUAGACGGACUGUGAACCAGUAUACUCUGCCAUCUGAUACAAAUAUCCAGUUUUUCCACACUCAGCUGCAGUUUGAUGUCUUCUGGGGCACCCUGGUGGAUACUAAUUUUAAUAAGCAUCAGGUGAUUGAUUGGUCCUUCUUGCUAAGUCAAUCAGUCAUGGAGGGUCUAAUCCCUAAGUUUGAAACAUGUGGAUUGUAUCAGUUUAUGGGACAACGCACAGAUUUCAAUGAAAUGGUUGUUAAGCAAUUCAUGGCUACCUCGGAGAUUGAUAUUGAAGAAGAAUCUAUCACCUGGAUGACUGGCUUCAAGCGCUAUUCUGCUUCUUUUGCUGACUUUGCCGCUGCCAACAGUCUGGACUAUGACACCAUUUCUGCUGGGCUGGAUCUUUAUACUGAAGAUAAUUUUGAGGAUUUUGUGCAAUUUUAUGAGCCAGCCAGGCUCGGAAUACCCAGGAGGUUUGGAGAGACAGCAGGACUCAGACAUCAUCCUGCUGUCAUCAACAAGAUUGCCAGAGUCACCAUUCUUCCCAAGAGUGGUGAUAAGAGUAAAAUACGAGAUAAGUUCUGGAACAUCAUCCAGCACAUCAUGAAUGGUGAAGUCAUGAAUAUUGUUCUUUUCAUGAUGAGGCAGCUUAAUGAUUUGAAAAUGGACAAGAAUCAAAAUUUAGCAUAUGCUCCUUACAUUAUGGCUCUCAUCAAAUCCAAGACAAGAUUUGAGGGCCCAUGCGAGAUUGUUCACACCCCAUUCAGGCCUUUUAAGAAUGAGAUAGGGUUUCUCACCAGGCCUCUCACUCCCUUCCCAGAUGAUGAGGAAGACCCUGGCUAUGAGGGUGGAGCAGCUCCUAAUGUUGCGGGACAGCAGAUGCCUCCUCCUCCACCUCCUCCUCAGCCUCAGCACUAUUGGGAGCCUGCUCCAGGAUACUUUGAUCCUUAUUUUCACAAUAUGCAGCAAGGGCUUGAGACUCAUAUUGAUACUCGCUUUGAGGGCCUGAUGACCCAUGUGGAUCACCGCCUCGAUGACAUGCAGUCUCGCUUUGACAGUAACUGGGAUGCGCUCAACUCUGAAUUUUCUGAGUUUCGUGAUCAAAUUCACACUAAUGUCACUGAUCCCAUCAUGUCCAGGCUGAAUAAUAUGCAACCGAGUUUUCAAGAUAACAUGGGUGCUCUCUCCAGUCAAUUUGACAAUCUUUCUACAAAUGACAACAUGCAUGAUAUAAGUCAGAGGCAGCAGCAGCUCCAGCAGGAUUUUGGCCAGUUCUCCUCCCUGUUUGACACCUUCAGCACUCACUACUACAACAUGCAUCCUCCGUCGAGUGAUCAGUGAGGCCUCUCCUUUGUGGCAAUUGAUGCCAAAGGGGGAGAGAAGUGAUGAGAAGUUGUCUGCGUCUCCUUCAGGGGGAGUUGGUGGUUCUAUGUGGACAUUAAGACCAUGCAUAUGCAUUUUACCUUUUCAUGCCGCUUGCAUUAGUUUAUGUCUUACGCAUUUGGAACUGGUUUGAUCUGUUAACUCUAUGUCGUAUGUCUGUGGACUAUUAUCUGUAAUAUUCUGUGGGAUGAACUAUUAAGAGGGGUCAAUGACUUAGAUCUGUGUAAAACUUAGUGCCUCAUAGGGCAUCAAGUAGUUGCAUUUGCAUGAGGACUAACAACACUUCACAUUUCGCGAGUCAAAAGUUCUUUCAAAAGCAUGUUUAAAAUUUGCGAAGUCAUGGACGCACGGACUGUCCGGGCCUUAGGGGCGGAUCGUCCGCGAUCCACCAGAGGGGUCCGAAGUUUGACCAUUUGUAUUGACACUGUGUUCUAUUGCACUGCGGACCGUCCGGGCCUUAGGGCCGGACCGUCCGCAGUCAUGACCAGAGGAGGGUGGCUUCGGGACAGUCCCUGAAUUAUAGGCGGACGGUCCGCCUGUAAGGGGCGGACGGUCCGCAAGUGUCAAACUCGUUUUUGGACAGGGACUGUGUGUUUUUAUAGAUUUGUACUACGGACUGUCCGGGGGACCAGUCCGGACAGUACUGUCCGAGGUCUCGGACCGUCCGGGAUUUAUAGCCGGACGGUCCGCGUGUGUUAACUUCUUUUGAUCUGAGGCUCGGGUGUUUGAAUCUGCCAGGUCGCGGACGGUCCGGCCUUGAAGGGCGGACUGUCCGGACCCACCUUUUGAGUCAGCUCUGACAUGUUUCAAACGGUCAUUAUAGCCGUUAUAUGUACGGCGGACCGUCCGGCCCUAGGGCGCGGACGGUCCGCGUGUGCGCAGAAUUGCCCCCUUUUGCACAUAACGGUUGGUUUUAGAUGGGGGACUAUAAAUAGAAGGGUAGCUCGUGUGAGAGACCUCUCUUGGCUAUUCCUUGCACACAUUGAGCUCAUUUGUGAUCCUCCAACUCACUCUCUCACACUCUUUGCUUAAGAUUGCAUUCUAGUGAGAGAUUGAGGGUUCCUAGUGCAUUUGCAUCAUUUGGUGAUUCUUGAGGCACUAGGUGGUACACCGAGCAAGCGUCGUUGGCUUGUUACUCUUGGAGGUUGCCGCCUCCUAGACGGCUCGGGUGAUUGUCUCCGUCGAGCUCUCCAAGAAGAUUGUGGAGAAGCCGCGGUGUGGAUUGUGAGGGGUUCGCGCCUACCUCGCCGGAGCGGCAAAGGUGACAUUAGUGGAAUCGAGGUAUUGAGUGAUUUCUUGUUCACUUGGCUCAAAGAUCAAGUCGUGUCUUGAUAGAGGAGCAAGUGAGAGCUUGAAGUCCACCUCAACGUGGAUUAGGGGUGAUCGGCAAAUCACCGAUACCAUGGGAUAAAUUUCGGUGUCUAUUCCUUCUAGCAUUACUUAUUGCCUUGCAAUUGAUUAGUGAUUUGCUUAUUGUUCUUCAAGUAUUCAAUCUCCGUAGUUGUCUUUCAUACAUUGUUUACUUAUUGACACUAGAUAAUUUAUUCCUCUUGUUGUAUUGAUUAAAUUUAUUUAGUAUUGUUGAUUUUAGUCAAAACCGUCUAUUCACCCCCCCUCUAGCCGGUGUCCUAGAUCCUACAAAGCCUCCAAGCGAGUGUUAACACUCCCUUCGAGGCUCGGAGGCUACUGUCGGGGACCAUAAUUAGGGGUACCCUCAAGACGCCUAAUUCUCAGCUGGUAACCCCCAUCAGCAUAAAGCUGCAGAGGCCUGAUGGGUGCGAUUAAGUCAGGGAUCAGUCCAUACGAGUGACUCGAUCUAGCCUCGGGCAAGGGCAGCCGACCCCGAGGGAUUUCCGUCUCGCCCGAGGCCCCCCUUUAACGGUGGACACAUCUCCGGCUCGCCCGAGGCCUUGCCUUCGCUAAGAAGCAACCCUGACUGAAUCGUCGCGCCGACCGACCGAGUCGCAGGAGCAUUUAACGCAAAGGUGGCCUAACACCUUUAUCCUGACGCGCGCCCCCCGGCAGAGCCAAAGUGACCACCGUCACUUCGCCGCUCCAGUGACCGGUCUGACAGAAGGACAGCGCCGCCUGCGCCACUCCGACUGCAGUGCCACUUGACAGAGUGAGACUGACAGGCAGUCAGGCCUCGCCAAAGGCGCCAUAGGAAACUCCGCUCCGCCUGACCCAGGGCUCGGACUCGAGCUAAGCCCCGGAAGACGGCGAACUCCGCUCCGCCCGACCCAGGGCUCGGACUCGGGCUAAGCCCCGGAAGAUGGCGAACUUCGCUCCGCCCGACCCAGGGCUCGGACUCGGGCUAAGACCCGGAAGACGGCGAACUCCGCUCCGCCCGACCCAGGGCUCGGACUCGGGCUAAGACCCGGAAGACGGCGAACUCCGCUCCGCCCGACCCAGGGCUCGGACUCGGGCUCAGCCCCGGAAGACGGCGAACUCCGCUCCGCCCGACCCAGGGCUCGGGCUCGGGCUCAGCCCCAGAAGACGACGAACUCCGCUUCGCCCGACCCCAGGGCUCGGACUCCGCCCUGGCCUCUGCCGAACGACCUCCGCCUCGCCCGACCUAGGGGCUCGGGCUCGGCCUCGGCAACGGAAGACAGACUCGACCCCAGCUUCGGAGGAGCCCUCCACGUCGCCCGGCCUCGGGCGCGGGCCCGCCACGUCAACAGGGAGCGCCAUCAUCACCCUACCCCGAGCUGACUCGGGCCGCAGAGAACAAGACCGGUGUCCCAUCUGGCUAGCUCCGCCAGAUAGGCAAUGAUGGCGCCCCGCGUGCCCUGUGACGACGGCGGCUCUCAGCUCCCUUACGGAAGCAGGGGGACGUCAGCAAGGACUCGACCGCUCCGACAGCUGUCCCUCCGCCAAGCUCCGUUGCUCCUCCGACAGCCACGACAUCACACCAGAAGGGUGCCAAGAUCUCUCCGGCUGCCACAUUGGCAUGUACUCAGGGCGCUAGCUCUCCCUCCGCUAGACACGUAGCACUCUGCUACAUCCCUAUUGUACACCUGGAUCCUCUCCUUACGCCUAUAAAAGGAAGGACCAGGGCCUUCUUAAAGAAGGUUGGCCGCGCGGGGACGAGGACGAGACAGGCGCUCUCUUGGGGCCGCUCGCUUCCCUCACCCGCGUGGACGCUUGUAACCCCUACUGCAAGCGCACCCGACCUGGGCGCGGGACGAACACGAAGGCCGCGGGAUUUCCACCUCUCUCUCGCCCGUCUCCGGCUACCUCGCUUUCCCCCCUUCACGCUCGCCCACGCGCUCGACCCAUUUGGGCUGGGGCACGCGGCACACUCACUCGUCGGCUCAGGGACCCCCCCGGUCUCGAAACGCCGACAAUUAGCGAUGCAUUUUUUGAGUAACUGAAGAAUCUUUAUGAAAUCGACUUGCGCAAUGUCAGUGCUGGGACCUAGGACCGAAUCAAACUGAAAGGUGAAGAGCUGUUGUCCUACCGAUGCUGGGAUCUGGCUAAAAUAAUUAGCGAUGCAUUUUUUGAGUAACUAAAGAACCUUUAUGAAAUCGACUUGCGCAAUGUCAGUGUUGGGAUUUGGCCAGAAUAAUUAGCGUUGCAACUUCGAGUAAUUAAAGAACCAUUUUGACUUGCACAACAAAGAAACCAGCAAGUAAAAAAGCAUACUAUUUUACAUGACCCGGGGAAGGGACUUAGCAUAUCGGCCCUAUAUCGGCCCUGCACAUAUCAUCGAGGCUGCCUGGGCUAGUAAAAAAGAAACUAUUUAGCGAGGGAGACGGCCGGGACCAGGAGCGACGCCAAUAUCAUCGGAGGAAAAAUAAAAAAAAAACGACUGGAACCACGGCCGAUGGAAGCUGCCCAGGCUUACACAUGGGAGGUGGCCAGGUCACUGCGAGUCUAGCAGGUCCGGGCUCCAAGGAGAUUUAAGGGGAAAACCUAUAUCCUCUCUAUUUUCAUCAUCCCAACUCGAUAGAACCAUGGGAGCUCUCUUGCACCUGUCCCGCUGUAGCUUGACGAUGCAGAUCCGAAUCAGGUGGACCUACUCUCGUCGCAGUUAGGGAGAAGAGCGUGGUCGAGGGAGACAUUGACGACGACGAAGACUGAGAAGUUGUAAACCCUAGAUACCAGUACGCGACCACGGCGAAUACUGAGAAGUUGAAAAACCCUAGAUACCAGUACGCGCUAUGGUUGAAGAAAAGGCCAUGAUGUUUUGGACGAACCUGCACCAACUGUGGAGACGGGCGGAGCGCACGAGGAGAGAGGACGCACGGCCGACAGUUUCGACGUCGCAUUCGCUGGAGAUCCCAGGUCCUGAGAGGUUCUUUUGGGGAGAAGACAAAGGCGAGUGUGUCCCACUCUGUAUUGUACUGGAAGGCUCUGGACGCAGAGACCAACGCUUAG